CUAGACAAGUACAGCAGUACCCAUAACACUGUUUACAUCAGUGGAGAGGAAGACAUGGAUUUCUGACCGAGUGACAAGAGAGAGAAAAUGAUUUCACAUCUUCCUGACCCUGAAGAAUAGAACCUACUUUCCUUCAUAUUCCUAUAUGAUUUUUUUUUACUUCAGAAAACACAGAGAGAGAGCUUCAAAAGGGACAUAUUUUCAUGGAGAUGAAAAUUCCGAUGGAGUUGGCCCCUCAGACCUUCAAGCCACCAUUAAUUGACUCUCUGUUCCAAGCACAAGUAUGUUCUAUUGAUACAGCCCUCCCCCUGCCCCUGUUAACUCCAGUCUUAAGAUUUUUGCCACGUUAUUCAGAACAAGGCAUUACUGGGAACCUUGAGUGUGUCCUCACUUCAGAAUAUGUUGCAAUAAGCCAAUGUUAGGAGGAGCAGGAAUUAACCAUUAAUAGGGCUCUUCAAUGUGCAAAGUGGCUUAAUGAAGCUCAAAAAAGCAUAUUCUUCUGAGCAAUCUGCUAACAUAGACAAACCGCUGGGUUAUAUCCAACUGGUUUUAACCCUUCAUAUCCUUUUGGUUUCUGAUCAAUACAUACAUUAGGUGCAUUCACAGAAUCACAUCUUUGUAAUUAAAAACAAGUAGACUUCUUACAUUUUCAAGAAAAAUACUGCAUGGUAGGCUACAGAUCUAUGUACGGUUUACACAACACUGACCGUGAGUUGCAGCUCUUGUCUUGUCAAAGGAUGGACACGCUCUAUAUCAGUGGAGGCUGCUCAGAGGAAGAAGGGGAGGACCAUCCUCCUCAGUGAAAUUUCAUAAAAAUAGGUGAUGACCACUCCACUCAACUAUCAUUGUCAACUCUCUCUUGACAUGAACUGAAGCCAUGUCUCAUGUGCCCCCUCAUCUACUGGCACGUUGAAUGUUUCCUCUCCAAGCACUUCAAAUAUUUUCUUGCAAUGAAGUCAAGCCUCUGAACACCUCAACUCAUGCCUCAUACCCUCAUUCAAUCACUGCUGUGAUCCCUUCCCAACACUGUUGUCUGGAGCCAAAUUCUAACCCGGUGCCACUAAGGGGAGCGACCUUUGCUGCUCACCAUGAGACAGGCAGCAUUUACCAGUCCAAAGAAACAGGAACCCCAAACAGUAUUUCUGAAGUGCUAGAGAAAAUCCACCCAGAUGAGAAUCUGUGGUCUAACGCAUGCCUGGAGUCACAAUGGAAGUUCGAGCCAGGACAUAGCCUACCAAGCUUUUAACAGGGAGCCAGAGGCAUCCUCUCUCUAACUUGUAGCCGCCUCCAACUUCAUUUUAGAGAAUUUGGCAGUAUAUCCAACCGGCCACACAACUGCAGACCAAGUGUAACCACGCCAGCCCAGGACCUCGACAUCUAUUUUCUUCACCUGCGGGAUCGUCUGAGACCAGCCACCCGGACAGCUGAUGAAACUGAGAAGUAUUUCUGUCUGUAAUAAAGCCCAUUUUCUGGGGGAAAAUUAAUUCUGAUUGGACUGGGCCUGGCUCCCAAGUGGGUGGGCCUCAUGGCUGUGCCCCUGCCCAGUAAUGUGAAAUCCAUAGAUCAGGGCCUAAUGAAUGUAUUUCAAUUUGCUGAUUUCCAUGUAUGAACUGUAACUAAGUAAA
ensembl:lncRNA